rnacentral:rRNA from 1 species
CGGGUGAGUAAUGUAUGGGGAUCUGCCUGAUGGCGGGGGAUAACUACUGGAAACGGUAGCUAAUACCGCAUAAUGUCUGCGGACCAAAGCGGGGGACCUCCGGGCCUCGCGCCAUCAGAUGAACCCAUAUGGGAUUAGCUUGUAGGUAAGGUAACGGCUUACCUAGGCGACGAUCCUUAGCUGGUCUGAGAGGAUGAUCAGCCACACUGGGACUGAGACACGGCCCAG